UUUCAGCUAGUGGUCUCAAGCCUAUGGUGACUCGCCAACAGAGGUUAGGCGUUGGUGGUUUUCUGGAGCAGACGUUACUUCUCCAGUGAGGGUCAGAUCGUUCCUGCAACCGAUGGACUGAAGCCGUUGGUGACGCGCAGAGAUUACCCCACAGAAGGUUAUGGCGUUGGUGGUUUUCUGAAGCCGAUAAUACUUCGCUAGAGAGGAUCGGGCCGAUGGUCUGAAGCUGAUGGUGACUUCGUCAGCAAAGAAGAAGAAUACGUCUUCAAAGAGGAUCGAAGUAUGACCAAAGGUAUUGUGAUCUGUUAGCGGUCAGGCUGUCAAAGCCUGGUUGGAACCAUCGCCGUCUCACAUACCAAAAGAAUUAAAGGAGAAAUCAAAAGCGACUGAAGAAAGCAAUGUUUUUCCAUGCCCUAUAAUGGAGUUGCACUUGAAACUCCAGGGCAAAGACGAGUACCUAUGUGAUACUUGGCCAGACACUAUGAAUGAGUUGGUCAAUGCCAAAGAUAAAAACCAUGACUUGGUCGAAUUGUGUAAUCCAGGAAAGACUGCAGGCUGUAGAUUUAAAUGACGACUGAAGAAAAAAUCAAUAUCAAUUAUUAUUCAAGGUAUGUUUUUUUUGUUUUGUGUGAUGAUGUGACUGAGUUCCUUGCGCUGCUGGUCCGUUUAUAGUCCUGAAGCAGU